GAGGCUCCGCCUCCGAGCAACCAAGCGUCGCCUGGGAGCCGCGAACCGCAUGAGCGAGAGAGCAGCGCUGCACCUGCGCGAGCCGAGCCAACGUGAGAUUGCGAUGGAGCGUCGGAUGCAUUUGCCGGCUGUGAGUCUGGCCGGCAUUCUGCCCUCGCCAUCAAGCAGGCCCUCCAGCCGCACUACUCAGAUCAGUCAUAUUUGUUCUGGUUCAUGGUGUCCAACACUUAAGUUUUGUUUUUCUGAUCGAUUCUAGUUUGUAAAACUCAUUACAGAGGUUUAUAAUCAAGGAGACAUAGUCGAGCCAAUAUCCUCUCAUGGAGGAACAACCACGGUGAAGAAAGCAGCUAGCUUAGCAAGGUGGGUGAGGUUCCUUCCGUACCGUGCCAAAACAUUCAGCAACCAGCAGGGGUGGAUCCAGAGCCCCCCUCCCCCACCCCACCCCACCCCACCCAAUGGGGCCUCCUGAAGCACCCCUACAAUUUUCAACGAUGAAUGAAGAAGAGGAAGAAGGAAAAGAGCGAAGGAAGAUGAUGAGGAAAAUGAGAACCCCCUAAAUUCAUAUCUUAGAUCUGCCACUGGCAACCGACUCUCUGUUCUAGUAAGUUUCAAUGCUAUGUACUGCUGGGAAUUGGCUGGGAAUGAUCAGCGCUUGCACAUGACCUCUGUUAGGUUCACUACUAUAAGUCCAUACCUCAUCAGCACACCCGUCGGUGCUUCAACUGGCUGGUACUCGCCCAACCUUGCUCUAAGUCAAAAAUGGCUAAGUUGUUGCCAGUUGUCCUAAUUGUGGCGGUGCAUACAUCAAGAAGUGGUGGGAUCUGCUGUGCUUUGUGGGAACUUCACCUCGGGCAGCAUGUACGGGACCAAUGAACUUGCACACAUCCUAAAACUUGGGAUGGCUGGUGAAAACAUUACCGUCUCAGACGGGUGCCGUCAGUAUAGCCAACCCUGCCCUCAUCGUGGUAGGAUUGGAUGGAUGUGUGCACUUGGACUGCCAACACCGGGAGGGUUUCCCUUCCCAUCUUGUGGGACGUCUUGAGCAUAGUGGGCUACCCAUGUCCUCCUCGCUACGUGGGACGGUACCGGGAAUUCAUGGAGAUGGGAGUCCUGCCCCCCUCUGUUGUCCGCCAACACAACCCGCGGAGAGCAAGCAAUAGUAGUGUACGCUGUUGCCCAGUACCGAGGAGACUCUAGCUCCAUUUCAUUUGGAACAGUGCAGAUUUAGGGGGGUGUAGGGGGCUAGAGCCCCCUUCCCCGCUCCACCCACCAACACCACCAAAAUAUCAAUUGCAAGUAAAGGAAUUGCCUCCACCACUGGAUACGUAGGAGAAAGAAGGUGGAGAUGUAGGAGAAAGAAGAAACCUUGCCUCCACCCGUGGAUAGGAUUUUCUAGAGUCAAGUUUGAAUUGAAGAUCUACGCCCUCGUCCAGUAUCUACCGUCCUUGUCAGCUAAGGAUUGUUACAGUUUCCCUGCACUGUUAAGUUAUUUGAUACACUCUUGCCUCACAACUUGAUCACGGUGGAGAGAGUGGUGAGGUUGUGGGGUUGUGCAUAAUAGCCUUGUUUUUACUAUUGUAUUUCAAAAGGAAUAGUGCUGCCUAGAUUGCCUUCAUCUCA